rnacentral:rRNA from 1 species
AACGAACGCUGGCGGCAGGCCUAACACAUGCAAGUCGAACGAGACCUUCGGGUCUAGUGGCGCACGGGUGCGUAACGCGUGGGAAUCUACCUUUUGCUGCGGAAUAACAGUUAGAAAUGACUGCUAAUACCGCAUAAUGACUCCGGUCCAAAGAUUUAUCGGCAAUAGAUGAGCCCGCGUAAGAUUAGCUAGUUGGUGAGGUAAAAGCUCACCAAGGCGACGAUCUUUAGCUGGUCUGAGAGGAUGAUCAGCCACACUGGGACUGAGACACGGCCCAG